rnacentral:rRNA from 1 species
UACGUAGGGUGCGAGCGUUAAUCGGAAUUACUGGGCGUAAAGCGUGCGCAGGCGGUUUUGUAAGCCAGAUGUGAAAGCCCCGGGCUCAACCUGGGAAUGGCAUUUGGGACUGCAAGGCUUGAGUGCGGCAGAGGAGACUGGAAUUCCUGGUGUAGCAGUGAAAUGCGUAGAUAUCGAGAGGAACACCUGCGGCGAAGGCGGGUUGCUGGGCUGACACUGACGCUGAAGCGCGAAAGCUAGGGGAGCGAACGGG